CAGUAGCCACGGGAAUACGGAGGGAGCUAGCGUUGUUCGGAAUUACUGGGCGUAAAGCGCGCGUAGGCGGUUACUCAAGUCAGAGGUGAAAGCCCGGGGCUCAACCCCGGAACUGCCUUUGAAACUAGGUGACUAGAAUCUUGGAGAGGUCAGUGGAAUUCCGAGUGUAGAGGUGAAAUUCGUAGAUAUUCGGAAGAACACCAGUGGCGAAGGCGACUGACUGGACAAGUAUUGACGCUGAGGUGCGAAAGCGUGGGGAGCAAACAGGAUUAGAUACCCGGUAGUCCCUGUCUCUUAUACA
rnacentral:rRNA from 1 species